UUUCAAUUAAUACAUAUAAAAAAUCUGAUUUGCAAAAGCUGGAUUAAUAAAAUCAGGAUUGAAUUUUUUAAACUUGUUUUUUUAUUUUUUUAGUUCUACUUCUUUUAUGUCUGUCAAUGCCAAAGGUAUUCAACAAGUUAAAAGACUGAAACUCAAGCAUUUAAAAAAAAAAAGCUCAUGUUUCAAUCGUAUAUUUAUUUGUGAGAAAACUCAAGCUUUUAGAAUUGAACUGACUCGAGUCAGCAACUCUAAUAAGCACCAUAGCCAUGAGUUGGAAAGUUCUCCAGCACAUCAUUCAUAUCAUUUCCUGUUUUCUUUCUUUUUAGUAUUUAUAUGGCUUCUAUAGUUUUAUAAUUGGCAUUAACAGUUAAGAGCUUUAUCACUUUGGCUUCAUGCCAACAAAUUUGCAAAUCAUAUUCAUAUGAUGUGUAGUGGCCAGCACUGUCC
rnacentral:lncRNA from 1 species